AACGAACGCUGGCGGCGUGUUUAAGACAUGCAAGUCGCACGGGAUAAGACAUGUAGUAAUACUUGUUUUAUUUAGUGGCGCACGGGUGAGUAACACGUGAAUUACAUGCCCUAUAGUGGGGAAUAGCUCAGGGAAACUUGGAUUAAUACCCCAUGGUAUCGAAAGAUUAAAGGUGGCCGCAAGGCUGUCGCUAUAGGAUUGGUUCGCGUCCUAUCAGCUUGUUGGUGAGGUAACGGCUCACCAAGGCAAUGACGGGUACCUGGUCUGAGAGGACGAUCAGGCACACUGGAACUGAGACACGGUCCAGACACCUACGGGUGGCAGCAGUCGAGAAUAAUUCACAAUGGGGGCAACCCUGAUGGUGCAACGCCGCGUGGAGGAUGACGGUCUUCGGAUUGUAAACUCCUGUCAUCUGGGAGAAAGACCUGACGGUAAAUAGCCGGCAGGGUUGAUAGUACCAGAAGAGGAAGGGACGGCUAACUUCGUGCCAGCCGCCGCCGUAA
rnacentral:rRNA from 1 species